AGUAACAUAGGAUAACGAUGACAUCUGCAGAAGUUAUGAAACUGUGUCGCAGAUCUCAACGCCCACCUCCAGAAAACAUUUAUAUAAUGUGUUUCCUUAAUCUUAGCACCUAAUCCAUUUAUUACAACAAAAGAGAAGGAAAAAAAAAAGAUUUGAUGUUUAAUAUAUGUAUUGGGUGCAAAUGUGUUUUGUUAGUGUGUUGUGUGGAAAACGUGUUUGUGUUGGUGUAGGUAUAGAGAGGAAGUAUGUAAGGCUGUAUUGCGAUUUGAAACGUCUAGAGGAUAUUCAAUCAUGAGAAUAUUUAACGUAAAAGAAAUUAUUGUUAUUCGCCGACUUUUAUAAGACUUUCCGUAUCAUCGUAAGAUAGUUGCAUGAGCCAUUCAGUGCAUGUAACCCUGCAUUUGUAAGAUGUAAGCGGAUAUAUAUUAAGUAGUUUAUUUAUUCUAUUAUACAAAGUAGAGCUAAUGUAGUAAAAAUGUUGAGCAGCUAAGGUAGUACGUCGUAUUUCGAUUC